rnacentral:sRNA from 1 species
AUAACACUCUGAUAGCUGCGAAAACCUCCCGACUAGAAAUCGAGGUUUUUUUAACCAUAGAUUGACUUUAUCGGGAAUUGUAACGGAUGACAGAAACCUGU